rnacentral:rRNA from 1 species
GAUCAUGGCUCAGGACGAACGCUGGCGGCGUGCUUCAUACAUGCAAGUCGAACGAGAAGCAAGAGCUUGCUCUUGUGGAAAGUGGCGGACGGGUGAGUAACAUGUAGGAAAUCUGCCCUUUAGCGGGGGAUAACAGUUGGAAACGGCUGUUAAUACCGCAUAAGCGCACAGUACCGCAUGGUAUGGUGNGAAAAACUCCGGUGGUAUGAGAUGGACCCGCGUCUGAUUAG